GUGGCCCUGGUAUGCGUGAAUGUCUACAAAAAUCCAUCUUGUACUUUGGCCACAUGACAAACUUUUCUUCUUCGCUAAUUUCAUUAGAAAUCCACAGAAAAUUUGUUACUUAUUUUAUAUAUCUCUGAUACUAACAAAUUAACAAGAUCUCCUCCUGCUACAUUAAGUAUUGAAGCAUUUCAAGGGAUCAACACUUCUUUCAUAAAAUGGCAAAGAGAGAAGGAAAAGACACAGGUGGUGGAGGGAAGAGGAUUGCCAAAUAUCACCAUCAAAGCUUCCAACAACUGCCAAAAACUCCUGACCAACCUUGAUAGAUGGGCAAAAGGCAGGUAGCAUUUCUGCUUACAUCCAUUUCCACCUUGAUAUAGGGAAUGCCCCUUGCUACAACAACAUGAUGCACCAUGAAAUCUUCUUCCCUUUAAAUGAUCUCAAAUCAAACUGUCUGAAAACGACUACAAGAUAUUUAAACCAAGACCUGCCAAACACCAACUCAGGAAAGUCAUUCAAACCAAUGCCCCCACUACACUCUCAAACUCCACAACUGAAAGGUUUGGUUGAACCUCUCCCCUCUGAAUUUCCUUGCUAUGAUCCAAGCUUCAAGCUUUAAUAGCAAAAUCAAUCAAUUGCAUAGUGUUGAAAGCUUUAUCUUGUCUCAGCCAGUUUUAAGGAAAGUACAAGUCUCAUAUUGAAGAUGAAGAUCAAACAAGUCUAGGAUACAAGAAAAAGAACUGAAUCUUUAUAUGAUAACAAAAAAUUUUCACUUUAUGGUCAGCAAAAACUGUUUUAUGUUGUAUCUUUUUCUUUCUUGUAACAUGAAAUAGGAUACAAGACCUCAUGAUAUGAAAACCAUCAAAUUCACCAAUCACAGUUAAUAAGUUAGAGAAUAGCCACACUAAGAAAAAUGAUAAUAAUAGCAAUUACUAACAGGUUGUCUCCACAGAAGGGCUAUCUCCACAGAAUUACAUUGGAACUCAACAUGAGCACAUAAAUUGAAAAUUGAAAUCUGAAAUAAUUCACCGUGGGUUUGCGUUACUUGGUCUACCUGACAUAUGUCUUUAUGUCCAUUGAAUUACUCUGAAGGCCUGCAUAAA
rnacentral:misc_RNA from 1 species